rnacentral:rRNA from 1 species
UACAGAGGGCGCGAGCGUUAAUCGGAUUAACUGGGCGUAAAGGGCGCGUAGGCGGUUAUAUGAGUGUGAUGUGAAAGCCCUGGGCUCAACCUAGGAAGUGCAUCGCAAACGAUAUGACUGGAGUAUUGGAGAGGGUAGCGGAAUUUCCGGUGUAGCGGUGAAAUGCGUAGAUAUCGCUUGGAACGCCAACGGUGAAAACAGGUUGCUGGGGGUGUGCUGACGCUGAGACACGAAAGCCAGGGGAGCGAACGGG